GCAGAAAUAAAGGGGUGCUGUCAUAAGCUGAGAUUAUACCCAAUGAACCUGGAACGGGUAAUGCCGUUUAGGGAAACAUGUAAAUAAUUGAU
rnacentral:ncRNA from 16 species